CAGCAGCCGCGGGAAAACGGAGGGUGCAAGCGUUAAUCGGAAUUACUGGGCGUAAAGCGCACGCAGGCGGUCUGUCAAGUCGGAUGUGAAAUCCCCGGGCUCAACCUGGGAACUGCAUCCGAAACUGGCAGGCUAGAGUCUUGUAGAGGGGGGUAGAAUUCCAGGUGUAGCGGUGAAAUGCGUAGAGAUCUGGAGGAAUACCGGUGGCGAAGGCGGCCCCCUGGACAAAGACUGACGCUCAGGUGCGAAAGCGUGGGGAGCAAACAGGAUUAGAUACCCCAGUAGUCCCUGUCUCUUAUAC
rnacentral:rRNA from 1 species